rnacentral:lncRNA from 1 species
GGUAAUGUGGUGCUAAGUUUUGGGAAAUCGGUUAUCAGGGUGGAUCGUGUUUGAAGAUUUUUUCGGUUUGACUUAGGGGAUGUGAGAUUCCUGAUGUGUUUUUGUAUAGUUUUUGCUGUAGUCUAGUAACAUUCGAGAGGCGAAUUAAGACCUUGUUUUAAUCUUUACUAGUUUAUUAUUCUUCCGCGAUAUGUUCAUCAUUUUCGCGGGAAUUUGAACCUCUGAUUUCGUGGUUUGUGA